UAAAAAAGUCGUCUUUCAGCGCUGCUAUUUUCACAGUAAACUGUCUACUAGGAACACGUACAGACCUCAAAGUAUU